GGGAAAUCACACACUUUCUGAAGCCUGAGACAUACCCACUCUAAUGUCUUGUAGGAAAACGGGCAUCUGUGAGAUAUGCUGAAUCUGCUGCUGUACCUACUGUACCUGUGUACUCUGCUUAAGUACACAACUGCAGUUGCAGAGCUCAGUGACUGUACAGCUGCAGGGAGUAUAUGCCACACUAAUGCAGACUGCUUCAAAACACGUGAUGAUAAGUUUGUCUGCAUGUGCCAAAUGGGGUACAGGGGUACAGGAGUACAAUGCCAGGACAUUGAUGAGUGUACUACUGGUCUACACAGCUGCCAUGCAAAAGCAGUCUGCACUAACACUCUUGGUAGUUAUACCUGU